AGAGUUUGAUCAUGGCUCAGAAUCAACGCUGGCGGCGUGCCUCAGACAUGCAAGUCGAACGCGAAAGGUUUCUUCGGAAACCGAGUAGAGUGGCGCACGGGUGAGUAACACGUGAGUAAUCUGCCUUUGGGUGGGGGAUACCAAUCGGAAACGAUUGUUAAUACCGCAUAACGCAGCGGCAUCGCAAGAUGACAGUUGUUAAAGCGGGGGAACGAAGCAAUUCGUCCUCGCGCCAGAAGAGGAGCUCGCGGCAGAUUAGGUAGUUGGUGAGGUAAUGGCUCACCAAGCCUGCGAUCUGUAACCGGCCUGAGAGGGCGGUCGGUCACACUGACACUUAGAUACGGGUCAGACUCCUACGGGAGGCAGCAGUCGGGAAUUUUGGGCAAUGGGCGCAAGCCUGACCCAGCAACGCCGCGUGAAGGAUGAAGCAUUUCGGUGUUGUAAACCUUCGCAAGGAAAUAGGGAAAGAAACUACACGGAGUAAAGGCAAAAUACCUUGCUUCGAUGACGGUACUUAUUUGUUAAGGCCCCCGGGGCUUAACUUCCGGUGCCAGGCAAGCCCGCCGGGUUAAAUUACGGGGGGGGGGNCAAANCCGUUGUUCCGGAAUUUU
rnacentral:rRNA from 1 species